ACAGAACACGCUGGCCUCAAAGAUAAUUUUUUAAAGGCAUAGAAAACAUCCAAUUUUUGGGAAUCAUUUAUCUGACAGCAAGCUGGAGCCCAGGAGGUGUGGCCAGACAGUGCGGCACCAAAAUGCAGAUCUGCCUCUUUGAGCUGCAGAGAGAGAAGGGUGACCCAGAUGUCCAAAAUUGUGGGAGAUGCUGCUAGUAGAAAAGAAAUUAUUGGUUGUGAGGGCCAUCAACUCCAUCCUGCUGCACAGGGUCAUCCGCCUCAGGUACCUGGGCCUGACUGUGGCCGGAUUUGCUGCCCUGGGCUUCCCGGACUGCAGAGAAGCGAUUGAUGGGACCCACAUUCUGAUCCGUGCACCACAGCAUCAAGCCACCCAGUACAUUAUCAGGAAAGGUUAUUUCUCCAUGGUGCCGCAGGCCCCUAGUCAACUACCAUGUACAGUUUCUGGACAUUUUUGUUGGGUGGUUGGGCCAGGCAUAUGAUACCUGCAUAUUCAGGAACUUUAGACUCUACCACAAGCUGGAGGCUGGCACAUUCUUCCCACAGUGGGACAUUCACGUGGGGAUGUAUAGAUGCCACUGUGCAUUGUCGGGGAUGCAGCCUACCCACUAAUACCAUGGCUCAUGAAGCCUACACUGGUCACCUGGACCCACAGCUCGAGGAGGCACAGGAUCUCCGACCUGGACCAGGAGGGUACCCGGCAUUUAAUACCCCAUGGUGGGUCCUCAGAGCACUGGUGCUGCUCCCUGUGUGGGCCAGGGAGGUCUUGGGGGGCUUGUGACUGUGCCAUGGAUCAGCAGGCCUUUAGCAGUCAGAGCCACGUGGUCAGGGUGCCUGCAUCUUUAAGAGCUGGCAGGAGACAGGAACUAUAGAACUGUGACUAGUGUGGACGGAGUGUCCUCUAGGACUCCUGUGCUUUUUCCUGGAGGCCUUUUCUUUCGAAAAAACUCCCUCUUCUGCCUUUUUCU